rnacentral:rRNA from 1 species
UACGUAGGGUGCAAGCGUUGUCCGGAAUUAUUGGGCGUAAAGAGCUCGUAGGCGGUUUGUUGCGUCGGCUGUGAAAUCCCGAGGCUCAACCUCGGGUCUGCAGUCGAUACGAGCAAACUAGAGUGUUGCAGGGGAGACUGGAAUUCCUGGUGUAGCGGUGAAAUGCGCAGAUAUCAGGAGGAACACCCGUGGCGAAGGCGGUUCUCUGGGACGGUACUGACGCUGAGACGCGAAAGCGUGGGGAGCGAACAGG